UACGUAGGGUGCGAGCGUUAAUCGGAAUUACUGGGCGUAAAGUGUGCGCAGGUGGCCGCGCAAGUCGAGUGUGAAAUCCCCGAGCUUAACUUGGGAAUUGCGCUCGAAACUACGUGGCUCGAGUGUGGCAGAGGAAGGUGGAAUUCCACGUGUAGCGGUGAAAUGCGUAGAUAUCUGGAGGAACACCGGUGGCGAAGGCGGCAUCCUGGACCGGUAUUGACACUGAAAAGCGAAAGCCAGGGGAGCAAACGGG
rnacentral:rRNA from 1 species